rnacentral:tRNA from 1 species
GUGCCUUUAGCGUAGUCUGGUAACGCACUCGUCUGAUACGCGAGAGAACAUUGGUUCAAAUCCAAUAAGGCACA